UACGAAGGGGGCUAGCGUUGUUCGGAAUUACUGGGCGUAAAGCGCGUGUAGGCGGGUCUUUAAGUCAUGUGUGAAAUCCCCCGGCUCAACCGGGGAAUUGCGCCUGAUACUGGCGGGCUAGAGAUCGAUAGGGGUGAGUGGAACUCCAGGUGGAGCGGUGAAAUGCGUAGAUAUCUGGAGGAACACCGGUGGCGAAAGCGGCUCACUGGAUCGAUACUGACGCUGAGGUGCGAAAGCUAGGGUAGCAAACGGG
rnacentral:rRNA from 1 species